rnacentral:misc_RNA from 1 species
UAAUAUGCCUGUGGCUGCUCGUGAAGCUUCAAUUUAUACUGGAAUUACUUUGGCCGAAUACUUCAGAGAUAUGGGAUACAAUGUAAGCAUGAUGGCAGAUUCAACAUCUCGAUGGGCAGAAGCACUUCGUGAAAUAUCUGGACGACUGGCAGAAAUGCCAGCAGAUAGUGGAUAUCCUGCCUACCUAGCGGCACGUUUAGCCUCUUUCUAUGAGCGUGCUGGUAAA